GAUGGUUCUAGCCUUGUAGGCUUGUAGUUUCGUAAGCAACGCAGCUUCUUUCUUCUUAUGGAGUAUUGUUUUACAGGCUAGUGGCUACUAUUUUUUCAUGUAAUGUAUUAAAAUGUAAUUAUAAUUAGGAUUGGGAUAAUACAAAAAUAUACUUUUUGGUUAGUGAUAUCUAUUACAUUGUGACAUAAUUUGGUUCCUCAAUAACUAUCAUCGUGAGUGCCAAACUGAUCAAUUGCAUCCUAAUGGAACGUUCAAGAUGUGAUUCAGUAACUGAUACGGUAGAUGCAAUCAAUAUUUUUGACCAAAUUGAAUCCACAAAAUAAUUGAAGAAAUGGUUUCAGAUGAUUACGAACAAGCGCAGCUAUCUCUGGAGAGGUAAUGCACCUACUGAUAUCCCGUGAUAAGAACUUAGGAGAGAUUUAGUGAAAACCUGGAGAAUGGCCACUUAGCUCACAAAUCUGAGCUGUUCACAUCAAGCUGAUAUUUGUGACAGCCAUUGUAGCUUUAAUCAUGUAAGUAAACACUUGAUCCGACUAUAAUUUUCAAUUAUUUGUAUCAAUUAACUGCACCUGGUUCUACUCAGAAUAACAGAGGCACAGGUUUCUUUCUUUAAACUACAACAGUACUAUCACCGACAGGAGUCGAGUCGGAGCAGUGGUAGCAGACGGUCGUGUUUCGAGGUGCGCAGAUAAGAUAAAUCGUUUCUUGUUUAUGCCUUUAGAAAUCUUUUUUCAUCGUAGAUCUUGUCUAUAACCUAAUAACUUACUUUAUUAAUUUAUUCUUUCAAUUAAUACAUAAUAAUCUUUCUAAUAAUAACUCAUCAGUAAUAAAAUCGGUAUUGCACCUCUUAAAGUCUACUAAAGUAUUUAGUACUUGUCUCUCUACUUGAACUUAUUAGUUGCGAAUUCAUUCAUCAGUAACCAUAAUCAACCAACUUAGCUGUAUUAAACUGUAUUGAAUCGUAAAUUAUCUCUUUAUAAAUUGUAGGUUUGAAUUACUCUUACUCAUAAUAUUAAUAUAUCUUUUAUCCAUCCAGGAAAUUGAAUAAACUAAAUUUUUAUAUUAUCUGAUCACCAAUAAAUAUUUCACUGUAUAAAUUCAUUACCGUAUAAUCGGAUACAUGCCAUUAAACCGAAAAUAAAAUGAAAAAUUAAUAAAACAGGAGUUCUACUAUUUUUCUCUUUGGGAGGCUGGUGGGAGUGUUUACCGCUACUCCUGGAAACAAUUCGUCCACUAGCAUCCGUCCUAAUGGUCAUUGAACACAACUUAUUUGUACAUCUAUAUGAGAUUUGUCCCUUCUGGGAUACGUAGCUUUUUCGAAAUUUGAAUUCGUCAACCCACAUAAAACCAUCCAUUACACUAAAGUCUGCAGUCAGACUAUUUCGUUCUGAAUCAGUCAUAUUUUGAUGAAUAAAGCAAGUAAACAGCAAAACAAAAAAAAACUUAGAUUAGCCAACAUAUUAUCAUGCAAGCAAGCUAACACAUAUUUAUAUUUUUAAUACUAAUAUACUAAUCUUGCAUCCUAUAAGCCUAUAUCAAUUCUUACAGCUCGUCAUGAAAAAUUAAUUCAGUAAGAUUAUUGUUAUAGUUGAGCGUUAAAUAUUCCACUAGGUAAUUGGUAUCAAAGCAUGU
rnacentral:lncRNA from 1 species